AAGCCUGGCCAGCGGCUGGCACAGACAAAGGGGCUGAGGUUGGUUCCUGUGCCCAGUGUGGGGUGGUCUUGCGUGCAGAGAGACAGAAGCGUGUGUCUGUGGGAGUGUCUGCCAGGCGUGCAAUGCCUAAGGAUCUGUGAGUGGAGCCGACUUGGGAGGCAAGUAGGCGAGGCAGGGAUGGUUACACCCAUUUGGCAGAUGGACACACUGAGGCUUGGGAAGGACGAACGUGAAUGGAGAGGCUGAGGAGACCCUGGAGUGGGGCUGGGCUGGCCACUCCACCACAGGCUUUUUAAGGAGAGGCAAGCCACGGAGAGAGACCUGCUCUGUGGCUUCCCGGUGCCCUGUGUCUGUGACAUGGAGUCAGGCAGUCUCACCCAAGUCAGUCAGGUGAGAGAAGGGAGGCAGGCUUCAAACCCAAAUCUGGGGAUCUCCUCACAGCCUCUGUCCCCCGCGAGGGUGGAGGGUAGGGUAUCUGGUGUUUUCUCACCUGGAGCAUUCUGGGCCCUCCUCGUGGGGCCGGGCAGGGCUGGGGCCUGCCCCACCACAGGCCACAGGGGGGCGCCAGAGACCAGAGCAGGGCCAGCUGCUCAGGCCCGUCUCCUAGAGAUCUAGGGGGUCGGAAAGCGUCCUGGGUGGGAAGAUGGGCCACUUCUCGCUGCCGCUCUUGGACAUCCUGAGUUCCUGCCCCCAGCCCACCUCAGCCCCCAGGGGCCAGCAGUCACCGGCCAACUGGUGAGGCCUCUGGGUCCUGGAUCACUGCCUGUGUGACCCCUGGCCAAGUCCCCAGGCCUCUGGGAAUGCUGAGUUCCCCCAGCAAGGCUAUCCUUAUGUCCUUCAACUCCAGCCCCACAGGGACGCCUGGCUGGCUCAACUGGUAAAACAUGCGACUGUUGAU